CUUGACAUCCAGCGAACUUUCCAGAGAUGGAUUGGUGCCUUCGGGAACGCUGAGACAGGUGCUGCAUGGCUGUCGUCAGCUCGUGUUGUGAAAUGUUGGGUUAAGUCCCGNAACGAGCGCAACCCUUUAUCCUUUGUUGCCAGCGAUUCGGUCGGGAACUCAAAGGAGACUGCCGGUGAUAAACCGGAGGAAGGUGGGGAUGACGUCAAGUCAUCAUGGCCCUUACGAGUAGGGCUACACACGUGCUACAAUGGCGCAUACAAAGAGAAGCGACCUCGCGAGAGCAAGCGGACCUCAUAAAGUGCGUCGUAGUCCGGAUCGGAGUCUGCAACUCGACUCCGUGAAGUCGGAAUCGCUAGUAAUCGUGGAUCAGAAUGCCACGGUGAAUACGUUCCCGGGCCUUGUACACACCGCCCGUCACACCAUGGGAGUGGGUUGCAAAAGAAGUAGGUAGCUUAACCCUCGGGAGGGCGCUUACCACUUUGUGAUUCAUGACUGGGGUGAAGUCGUAACAAGGUAAGCGUAGCGAG
rnacentral:rRNA from 1 species